CCUGCCCCUGGAGGCCCAGGCAUUGCAGGGGUAGCUGCUACUUCACAUGUGCCUCCGUCAGUGGCAGGGACGGGCUGUCCUCGCUCAGAGUUCUGACCCGUGAACAUCUCUGAAUGAUCAGUAGCCUGACAUC